ensembl:lncRNA
CAUACUUAACUCAUUUCUCAAAAUAUACUUAAAGAAAUGCUUUCUUAUAUUGGUGUAUUUGAUAUAUAGAAAUUGGGUAAAAAUAUUAAAAGGAAAUUUUCUGUUUACUAAAUGUAUCCAUGUACACCUGUUUGUGAUUGACCAAAACAUGUCAAACAUAUUGAGCCUAUCCUAGUCUCCUUGUAAAACUUCCUAGAGUUAAAUGAAGAGAAAAACGCCUCUAGUGAUUGUAUCCAACACCCUGGAGACCACAUGUCCUGAAUUUCAAACUCAUGCCCCACUUACGUGCUUCUUUGCAUUUUGUUUUGUUGCCUGGAAAACUGGGGUUGCCAUGUUGGUUCCUCAGCCUCUCCCAUCCAUGCCUGUCUGGGGACUUUGGGAGGAAAAGUGCAUUGUAGUUUGAUAAUUUGAUGUAUUUAUGUCUUCACAGCUUUUUCUUCUCUGUUGUUCAACCACCUCUCUUUAACAUACUCAUGUCUUUUAUUGGGAAACAUUUGUUGAGCUCCCGUUACCUUUGAAGCCUGGUCUAGGCAUGGGGAGGGGAGGAAUAACAGAAGGCGAAUCCUUGCAUCAGCGAGCUGGCCGUCCAGUCCCUCACCUGGGAGAGUCAGCGAUGGCAUUUGACGCUCUCUCAGCAUCCUUUAUUAUCAAAGGGGAAACUGUCAUAAGCCAAGGGCUGCUUUUCCAGAAUGCAUCCAUGAGAAUAUUCUUACAGUCUCAUCUUCCAUGAGAGGCUUCUCUGUGAAUUUACAUCUUCAAUUAAAUGCGACUUGUUGUUUAGAAACAUUUUUUUUUCUUGAGUUUUAAUUCAUUCGGACUCUGCUCAACCCAGAAGAUGCCUGCCUCCUUCUGCAGUAGAGAAGGUGUCACACCUGGCAGUCACUUAACUACUAUGAACAGCCCUCCCUGACAGGCCAGAUGUGGCUUUGGGUCAGUCAAGUCCAGAACCAGGACUUGAACGGUUUCACUGGAGGAAAGUGGAUCUGUGACCUCAAAGCUGACCUGGGAGUGACCCUGCAGGGCUCCGGUCCCAUCCCCAGGAAUACCUGUACCCUUGUGGGGUCACCCUCAUCCUGGGAGCUCAGCCUUUGAAAGUGCAAAGUGUCUGAGAGGAUGGAGGGGUUUCUCCCUUGGUUCCCACUCUUGUCUUUAAAAGCUUCUCUAUUUGACAGGAGAGAGGCCCAGAGUCUCUACUAUAAACCAUAGUUUCUUUCUUUGUUGUCUUCUCAGGAGGUUUUUCUCUUUUCUUAGACUCAUAGCCUCCUUUGGAGGAUGAGGUUGGGUGUCUGUAGUUACCUAGCGGGAUGAAUGCAGAUCGGACCUACUCUGUAAUCUACAUACGUUUCUGUGUAAGCUCCCAGCGAGGCUGUGGGGCCAUGUUCCAUAUUUCUCUAGAAAGGAAAAGAAAUUUUUGGACAAGCCAGUUGCACAUCUUCUCCAAGAGUUUGUAACAUCAGAGUGGCUAAAAAAGGAAGGUCUUCCAACAGGUGCACGUUUAUUUGGUUUCGUUCUGGAUCCCCUGGAGAAGGUAAUAGCUACCCACUCCAGUAUUCUGGCCUGGAAAAUUCCAUGGACCAUAUAGUCUACGGGGUUGUAAAAAGUCCAACACGACUGAGCAACUUUCACUUUGAGAGGCUUUGGUGAAUGAUUACUCCGUGUGUGUGUGUGUGUGUGUGUGUGUGUGUGUGUAUCUCUGCAUGUGUGUGUCCAUGUGUGUCUGUGUGUGUGUGGGUCCUUGUGCCUGGUUUCUUCUUUCUUGCACACUUAAACUCCUUGUUGAAAUCAAGUGACUCACAGAACAGCGCACUCGGUUCUUUGGCCUUUAAAUACUCACUUUCCUUCCUUCCACCCAAAACUAGACCAUCCCCGUGGAUAGGAAAUGUUUUCCAUAAUAAAUCUGCCCAUGCCAGAGUUCCUCUCCUUGUCUUGCUUCCACUCCAGUGCUUGUUGAUAACUGAAGACCUGCAGCCUACCAGGCUCCUCUGUCCAUGGGAUUUUCUAGUACUCUUACUGGGAGAAUGGCGUGGACGGCGGAACCUGGAGGGCUCCAGUCCAUGGGGUUGCAGAGGGGGACUGAGCAUGCCCACACACAUCCAGAGAAAGUACAUGAUUGUCCCAUGUAUGCUGAUGCAGACUGACUGAGGGUGGAGGCCGCAAUGAAUCGGACAGAGCUGUUUCUUUCAAGGACCUACAGUAUGGGGACGGGGUGGGGUGGACAGGCCGCCAGGCCAAGUUGAGGGGGACUGGGUCAAGUGACCCUAUGGGAUGGUGUUUAACAGAGGGUCACACAAAGGUGCCUGGAGGCCUAAGCUGAUGCUGACGGAUGCAUGGGAAUGAUUCACACAGAGGCGCUGGAGAGAGAGGAAGGCCUUCACAGGCAGAGGGAGCAAGACGGAUGGAGCUCUCCAGGCAAGGAGAAAGUGUGAGAAAGCAUGAUGAAAGUCCGUGUGGCCGAAGCAUCGCAUCCAGAAGUGAGGGCUGAGAGUUGAGGUCUCUAGUGGAAUGGUUUAAGCAGAGUUGGGUACAAGGCUGGGGCAGGAAUGAGCUUGAGACGCUGGAGAUGACACAGCCAGUCAGUAUGGGGCCUCGGGGAGCCAAGGGCACAAGGUGGGAAGACCUGCUCUAGAGUCCUGAUCCCAGGAUACAGCGAGUGCUGUAAACCCUGCCGUUCCCACUGACCUCAUGGCGACCUCCAGCCUGCCCAGCCUGAAGGCCAGCUCGGGUUUUUCUCCAAGCCUGUCCUGCUUCCCAUCUCCAUCAGCCUAAGAAAUUAAACUGAAACCACUAGGUGGCAUCUCGGGGCGGGGUGGCUUUGAGGUCCUCCAGUCCUUUAUGGGUCAGAGCAGAAAGAAUUCCGUGAGAGGCAAAGUCAUAAUUAAGGAAUGAUGUAUUAGAACAGGAUACUUGUAAAGCUUACAAAGGGGUGCUGCCCAUAGAACAUAGUGGGCUGCAGUUUUAUAAUCAGAGGAACAGUGGGGAGGGGGAGAGGACCGCCUCCUCCCCCAUUCUUGAGUAGACGCUUCCAUCAUCAGCUCCUCCUCCCUGUUGGGUCAGGGGAUUUCGUCCCUACACGGUCAAGCCGGAACUGUCAUGACACUAUGGAAAAAUUAUCUCAUGUCGGCGCAGUGAGGGUGUUUCACUCUGAAAUGUCACCUUUCCCUAAAUUACUGUUUUCUGUGUGUACAGAGAGUGUGCCCUGGGGGCUCAUUAACCAACUGAGCUCACUGGACA